UCACAAGUGGUUCGUCGAAAUAACUGAAAAAGAAGAUAGAUAUAUGGUUCAUUCUGUGUCAAGUAUUGUAGAAAUGAAGACGGUCUCGGUAAUUUGUGGCUUGGCUCUGUGUCUGUUUAACGUUAUUGCAGCUCAACGAUUGUAUGAUUCAGAAUAUGAUGGAAACUUGGACAUUCGAUACGUUGGGGAGGAGAUGGCAAAACUCAGGAAACUUUUUGUUGAUGAGAUGGCCAAAAUCCGUCUUGACAUAAAUACUAGUAGAGUCCAACAAAGCAACAAGGACAUUCGAUACAAUGGGGAGGAGAUGGCAAAACUCAGGACACUUUUUGUUCAGGAAAUGGCCGAAAUCCGUCUUGACAUAAAUACUAGUAGAGUCCAGCAAAGCAACAUGGACAUUCGGUGCAGUGGGGAGGAGAUGGCAAAACUCAGGACACUUUUUGUAGAGAAAAUGGCCAAAAUCCGUCUUGACAUAAAUUCUAGUAGAAUCCAACAAGGCAACAUGGACAUACGAUAUGAGGGAGAGAUGGCAAAACUCAGGAAACUUUUUGUAGAGGAGAUGGCCAAAAUCCGUCUUGACAUAAAUACUAGUAGAGUCCAAAAAAGCAACAUGGACAUACGAUAUGAGGAGGAGAUGGCAAAACUCAGGAAACUUUUUGUUGAUGAGAUGGCCAAAAUCCGUCUUGACAUAAAUACUAGUAGAGUCCAACAAGGUGAGGCCAGGAAACAAUACACCGAGGAAGAGAUGACAACAGUCAAGGAGACCUGUGUUGCGGAAAUGGCAAAACUCGGUCAAAGUACUAAAUUUCCACAAUCGUGCCCCACACAAUGGGUUCCUUACCAGAACUCUUGCUACUUCUUUGGGAAUGAUUACGGUAACUGGAAUCAAAGAAAGGUUAAAUGCGAGCAAAAGCACGGUAGUUCAAAGUAUGUGAGAAUAACAAGCCAAGAGGAAGAUACAUUUCUCCGGAACUUCGUCCGAUCUAGAAAUAUAACAGAAUACGCAUCCCGUGACUAUUGGAUAGGCGGGACUGACGCAUCACGGGACGGAGAGUUUAUGUGGGAGGGACAUUCUCAGAGUUUCACCUGGACAAACUGGGGCCCGGGUAACCCCGAUAGGGUCGGUACGUCAGACUGUGUCAUCCUCUUCCAACGCUCAGACUACAAGUGGCACGACACUUCAUGCUCCAAUAGCAACAGUUACAUUUGUGAAAUUGAGUUCUAAAUACCAACAGUUACAUUUGUGAAAUUGAGCUCUAAAUACCAACAUUUACAUUUGUGAGAUAGAUUUCUAAAUAACAACAGUUACACUUGGGAAACAGAGCACUAAAUAACAAAGUUAUGUUUGGGAAAUAGAGCUCUAAAUAACAAAGUUAUUUUAGGGAAAUAGAGCUCUUAACAACAACAGUUAUAUUUGUGACAUAAAGCUCUAAAUAACAAGUUAAAUUGUUAAAAUUAGGCUCUAAAUAAGGAUUUGAUUUACCAUUUGAAUUUUAAAAAGUUUUGACUAUUGAAAGAAAACUUAUUAUAAAAAAUAAAAGAACUGUCCACCUAUAUAAAAAAAACACCAUACGAUAUCAUGAUAUUUCGGGUAAUGUUAUUUCACAACAUAUUUUUAUUUGAGAUCAUACUUACGAUUACUUUCAGAUCAAAUAUUUUUAUUGUGAUUAUGAAUAUGUUAAUCAAAAUUUUAUUAUAUUUGUCCUCUGUAAAUUUCUUUUAAAUUGCUAUAAUUUAAGAAUUAAAAUUUCAGCUACUUUUUUACUCAAACUUCAACGGAAGUUGUGAAAUUCUAAGCUUCUCGUGCAGUACAUACGCAUUUACAUACACAUAAACUCUAAUUCACUUCAAUGUGCUGUCUUGUCAAAGUUAUCUUUUAAUUUAUUUAUGGUAUUGUACUGUUAGAUUAAAAUUUUGUAUAACAAUAUUUUUGUUACAUCUGUGUAACAUGCGCACAAAGGACUAUAUAAUUGAGCAACAUUUUGUAAUUUGCAAGAUAGAAAAUUAAAUUUAUCAUGUUUUUUUAAAGAUAUCAAGUUUAAGGGGAAACAAAUACAAGUUGUUAAUAAUUCUUCCUCUUUGGCUUUAUGGGAUUUGAUCACUUGAC
rnacentral:misc_RNA from 1 species